rnacentral:rRNA from 1 species
GACGAACGCUGGCGGCGUGCCUAAUACAUGCAAGUCGAGCGAACGGACGAGAAGCUUGCUUUUCUGAUGUUAGCGGCGGACGGGUGAGUAACACGUGGAUAACCUACCUAUAAGACUGGGAUAACUUCGGGAAACCGGAGCUAAUACCGGAUAAUAUUCUGCACCGCAUGGUUCAAAAGUGAAAGACGGUCUUGCUGUCACUUAUAGAUGGUUCCGCGCUGCAUUGGCUAGUUGGUAAGGUAACGGCUUACCAAGGCUACCAUGCGUAGCCGACCUGCGAGGGUGAUCGGCGACACUGGAGCGGGAACACGGACCAUACUCCUACGAGAGGCACCAGUAGCGAAUCUUCCGCAAUGGGCGAAAGCAUGACGGAGCGACGCCGCGUGAGUGGUGGAGGUCUUCGGAUCGGAAAACUCUGUUAUUAGGGAAGAACAUAUGUGUAAGUAACUGUACACAGCUUGACGGUACCUAAUCAGAAAGCCACGGCUAACUACGUG